rfam:Cajanus cajan chromosome 6, whole genome shotgun sequence.
GCAUAUGUUUUUCAGUAGCUUAUCUCAUUAGAACUCCACAGUUAAGCGUGCUUGACUUGGAGUAAUAUAAGGAUGGGUGACCUUCUGGAAAGUUUCCUAGAAAAUAUGCA